UACGUAGGGUGCGAGCGUUGUCCGGAAUUACUGGGCGUAAAGAGCUCGUAGGUGGUUUGUCGCGUUGUUCGUGAAAACUCACAACUCAAUUGUGGGCGUGCGGGCGAUACGGGCAGACUGGAGUACUGCAGGGGAGACUGGAAUUCCUGGUGUAGCGGUGGAAUGCGCAGAUAUCAGGAGGAACACCGGUGGCGAAGGCGGGUCUCUGGACAGUAACUGACGCUGAGGAGCGAAAGCGUGGGGAGCGAACAGG
rnacentral:rRNA from 1 species